UACGUAGGGGCUAGCGUUGUCCGGAAUCAUUGGGCGUAAAGAGCGUGUAGGCGGCCAGGUAGGUCUGCUGUGAAAACUCGAGGCUUAACCUCGAGCUGUCGGCGGAAACCAUCUGGCUAGAGUCCGGUAGGGGUCCACGGAAUUCCUGGUGUGAGCGGUGAAAUGCGCAGAUAUCAGGAGGAACACCGGUGGCGAAGGCGGUGGCUGGGCCGGAACUGACGCUGAGGAGCGAAAGCGUGGGGAGCGAACAGG
rnacentral:rRNA from 1 species